UCCGGAUUUUUCGAAAUAUUUUAUUUUAUGAUUUUCUAAAAGAUGAGGAAUAAAAUUUUUAUAUUUUAUUUCCAGUCCAGUGAAAUAUCGAGAAUUUUAUUAUUUGAAAUAUUAUGUGGAUAGUAUUUUCAGGUGUAGCUUGAAAAGUUUUUUUUGCAAUUAUAUGAUUUAAGUGUGGUACAUGUUAAAUGUGCUUCUUAUUUGGUUAUUUUGUUUGUGUGAGCAAUUAGUUCAGAAUUUUGAAUUAUUGUAUCUUUUUUAAUAAAUCAAAUUUAUCCUUUGAUUUUGAAAUCAAAGCUUGUUUUAUUUGAGCCUAAUGAUUUAAUCCGAUUUAAAUUACUAAAAUAUACAAACAUUAGUAUUUCUAUAUUUCUGUCGGAUUCAGAAAUAUUUGAAAGUUGCAGAUAAUUGUAUUAAUUAUUUGUUAAUUAACAAUGAUUUUGAGCAUUAUUUGUAAAAGUAGAGAAAGGUUGUAAAAAUAUUAUAUUUGCAAUUAUUCUGUAUUCGGGAUAAUUAAAAUUUUUAUAAACUUUUAUGUUUAAAUUUGGAAGAUAUUUUUAGCCCCAAAUUGUUAAAAUAGCUUAUUUAUUGAAUUGUGGGUGUGAAUUUUGUUAAAAUAUAAAUAGUUCUAUUUAGAAAACAAAUAGAGGAUAUACACACAGCAAUUGAAAUUGGGGGAGCAACAGAGUUUGGGAAUUAGGGAUUGGGGUGCAGAGAUGGUUACGCGCGCGAAAACAAGUAAUCAACUCUCGAUUCUUGUCAACUUCUUUUGGUAUCUCCCUAUCUAUUUAUAUAAAUACACCUAUAUACUUGAUUGUGUUGGUUCGUUUGGGCUUGUAAUCAGGGGUGGUGUGGUUGAAUCGGUGAUGGCGGUGAUUUGUUUCGCCGCUGAUAGAGGUGAGCGGAGGGAGCUGUUGCGUAGGGUGAGCUUGGGGUGUAUAGAGGGGAAUAGAUGGAGCUACUACAGAGGGCUGCGGAAGAUUGUGUGCGUGUGUCCUGUUGUGUGGGUGGUGUGUAUAACUGCCCUGUACAGGUGUACUAGUUUAUGUGUGUAAAUAGUUACUUUGUGUGUAAACAAAGCAGGGGGUUGGGAGAGGCUGCUGGUACGUGGCUGUGAUGUUUGUACAGGUGUGUAUAACAGCCUAAAGGUAUGUGUUGUCGCUUCUGUGUGUGUUCUAGUAGGCUGUGUGAUUUAUGUGGGUGUAAAUACCGUGUAGGUUUGUCGGAGGUGUUAGCAGGGCAGGUGCGGGUGUUAAUUGAAAUUGAAUAAGAAGGCUGAUCUAAGGCUAUUGAUUAGGCAGUCUAUGGGACUGGUGUGAUGGAAACUGAUGGAAGGAGGGUUAGAUGGAGAAGAGAGUGUAUGAGAUUGAAAAUAUGGGUACGAGUAUGCUGAUAAUGUUUUUGGGGUGGUAUUUUAAGAGUUUAAGUAGUGAAUUAAAGAUUUAGAAUUAUUCAUACUUGACUUAGAAAGUUUUGGCCGUCGCUGGUCUAUUUUGCAGUAUAAUUCUGGGUUAAUUGAGUUCAGUUAUGUGCUUAAUCUUUAUGUAAUAAUGUGCUACUUGAAGUCUAGAUCAAGUACGAAAAAGAAUUUCGAAAUUUCAUUAAACGAGCUAAAAGAGAGGUAUGUUUUAGUGCGAGGUGCGCAGAAAAUUCUGGGCAGGUUUGUCCUGUUCCAGGCCCUGUUUUGCUACCUUUAACUUGGUAUUUACUUAUGAAAAUUUUAAUGGAGUUUGAUAUUGGAGUCUGGAAUGUGCUGUUAAAAUUUUAUACAAUCAGACCAAUUUUUCUAUUUAUUAAAAAUCUUAGCGUCGGGCUGGUUUUGCAAGACAGUUUCUGGUGCCUAAUUGGCAUACCUGUUUUACUGCUUUAAGCUUGGAGUUUCUUUCUGAAAAUUUUACUGUAGGUUGGAAUAAUGUGUAGGAGUGUCUCAUAAAAAUUUCGUAUUAUAUCGAUAAAUUUUCAAUUUAUUAAAAAUCAUAGAGUAAGGGCUAUUUAAACUAUUUGCUCUAGUUUUCUUUCUUUGUUGGUGCAUAAUAUGAAGUUAUACUUGAUUAAUUGCAUACGAUUGAUUAUUAAUUGAUUGGCUCAGUUGGCCUUGUAUAUCUUAUUAAAUGUAUUUUGUGUAUAGUGAACAAGCAAUCGUGCGGAAAGAUUUUCUUAUGUGUUUACUGCAAGUCAAGACAUCUUUUUAUAUUAUAAUUCAUGUGUUGGAAAUAGUAUUGGCUGGUUGUUGGUAUUGAAAACAGGUGGAUAAGCCUAUAAACAGAGGAGAUGUUGCCGAAUUUUUAUUAGAAAUUAAGGUGUUUAUUUAUUACUAAAUAAUUGAUACUUGAUGGCAGUAUAUUCUAUUUGAACUGGAAUAUCUAUCGAUUGUUUAUUGAUUAUGUGAUUAUGUGUUGACUGAUCCAAUGUGUAUAUAUUGCUAUGUGGAUAUCUGUAUAUAUUCAUGUUUAUUAUAUAUGGAUAUGCGAAGGGUAGAUGUUCGUGAUUCUUAUAAUAUUUAGAAUCAGCUAGUUCUUCUAAUCCGAAGACUUAGAUAUUAUCCUACUAUCGUGUAGAAUAAUCAAGACGUGUGUAUCGAGAAUGUUCAUUAUUAAUUUGAUGGUGUUGCAACUUGAAGCAAGAAAUAUCUGAGAAGACAAGACGUAGAAAGAAUAUUGUCGGAAGCUACUUAGAAAGAUAUGGUUGUGCAAUGUAGUGCUAUUAGAAUCGUGGCUAGACAUCGGAGUCGAGGCAAGUAAUUCUAACUUUCUCUUGCAAUUAGAGCUAAGGAUUAAGGUGGUCACCUGGGUAAGCUGCGCGUAAGAGUAAUGCUAGGCGAGACUGCUAGGGAGGUGGCUGCGAGACUAGUAUGGUUAGAGUUGAAUUAUUUCAAUUCAGUUGUAGAUGGUUUUUAUUUAUUGGUUAUCAGUUAUCCUUCUUACCGAAGUUUAGCUGAUAACGUAGUUUAAGUUGUAAAAAGAUUUUAUAGUUUGGGUUCUGGUUUCAAUGCUGUAACCUAUUUGCGAUCCUGUUGUUAGGGGGUCAAAGUGAUUUUGAUUUAAAUCUCUUUUAAAAAUCCAGAUUUUGAAAUAUAUGUUUUACCUUCUUCCGGAAA